UCCUUCUCCCUCCUUUCCACCGACGCCGACAAAGGAAGAAGGGGCUGCCAUCGUCGGUUUGGCCUCCUGCCGGCGUCCUUUCGGUAAACCGACACUGAAAUCGGACUCCCCACCCCAGAAGCGACCCUCUUUGCGGUGAAAUUCCCCGUUGGCAGCCUCGGGAAGCUUCACCGUAGCAAUACCUUUUCGGCCUCGAUCCGGUGUCUUUCGGUCACUUUCCGACCGGAAUUCUUGUAUUUUUAGACUCCUCACAACUCGAGCUUCGCGUAGGCCCUUCCGAAUUCGAAUUCUGACGCUGUUGGCAAGACCGGCUUUCAGACCCCGGUGCUUUUCGGCCGUGCGAAAUAUUACAAUUUCGACUCGGUAUAAUUUUAUUUAGACCUUAAAAAUUAUGUUGUAAUUUUAGAAAAAUAUUGUGGCUAUUAAUUAUCAGUGAUGGAUAAAUUAAAAAUUAUUUGGAUUUAAUUAUUUGUGUUUGUGAUGUGUUGCAGAGUCGAAAAAGUUAAUGCAGUUUUGGUUGCCCGACUCCCGUUAAUUAAUCGCAGUAUAUUUGAAGUACUUUUUGGCAGGUUUUGGACCCGUUUUAUAGGAGAUAAACGUCCGUAAUUUAGGAGAGGUUCCACUGAAUUUUCGAACAAAAUUUUCGAGUCUAAAGUAAUUUCAAGCAGUUUAAUCUAGGGGUCUAGGCCUAGGGAAAAAUUUAAGAUUUUCUAUUAACUAAGUGUUUUCGUGAAUAGAUAAUCCAUCCUUCCUGCCAGCUCCACCCAAGGUGUAGGAGCGGACUGAGGAGCGCGACAGAACUUUAAAGUUCUUCGGCAUCCUACAUUUUGACAGCCCGACUCCUUCCUUCAUUGAGCUUAUUGUUAAUAAUCUAUACUUUCAUAUUUUUGGUUAUUUUAUAUUUUAGACCUUCCGCAGUAGAAUAUUUUUUAUUGUUAUGAUUUUUUGGUCCAUAAUGGACGUGAAAUGUUAUCAGACCAGUUAGAUUUAUGUAUGGUAUGUCAAGCAUGAUUAAUGUUA